UAUUUUUAAAAUGUUGUCCUGGUUUUGUAACUAAAAUGGUUUGGCAGUGAGCGAUUCUUGUUAGGGGAAGAUGCAUAGUAAAGGAUGGUCCACCUAUUAUUUCACUCUUGUUAUGUUGGUGUAUAUCUGGUUUGAUAUUAUCGUUUAAUGGUUUGAGUUUGUGUAGUUUUAGUUAAGCCAAGUCUAUGUGCUGCUUAUGGGAGUUUUUGUGUGUUACAUUAAUAAGGGUGUUGUUGUAAUAUGAUAUUAUUUAGGACUUAAUAGUAAUGUUUAAAUUAGUUUGUUGAUGUGAAAUGAGUUUAGCUCAGGUACACACCGCCCGUCACCCUCGGUU
rnacentral:rRNA from 1 species